AUGGGAGCUUGCUCCCAUUUCUCAGCGGCGGACGGGUGAGUAACACGUGGGCAACCUGCCCUGCAGACUGGGAUAACUCCGGGAAACCGGAGCUAAUACCGGGUAAUACAUAGCAUCGCAUGAUGCAACGUUGAAAGUUGGCCUUUGGCUAACACUGUAGGAUGGGCCCGCGGCGCAUUAGCUAGUUGGUAAGGUAACGGCUUACCAAGGCCACGAUGCGUAGCCGACCUGAGAGGGUGAUCGGCCACACUGGGACUGAGACACGGCCCAGACUCCUACGGGAGGCAGCAGUAGGGAAUCUUCCGCAAUGGACGAAAGUCUGACGGAGCAACGCCGCGUGAGUGACGAAGGCCUUCGGGUCGUAAAGCUCUGUUGUUAGGGAAGAACAAGUACCGUUCGAAUAGGGCGGUACCUUGACGGUACCUAACCAGAAAGCCACGGCUAACUACGUGCCAGCAGCCGCGGUAAUACGUAGGUGGCAAGCGUUGUCCGGAAUUAUUGGGCGUAAAGCGCGCGCAGGCGGUCUCUUAAGUCUGAUGUGAAAGCCCACGGCUCAACCGUGGAGGGCCAUUGGAAACUGGGGGACUUGAGUGCAGAAGAGGAGAGUGGAAUUCCACGUGUAGCGGUGAAAUGCGUAGAUAUGUGGAGGAACACCAGUGGCGAAGGCGGCUCUCUGGUCUGUAACUGACGCUGAGGCGCGAAAGCGUGGGGAGCGAACAGGAUUAGAUACCCUGGUAGUCCACGCCGUAAACGAUGAGUGCUAGGUGUUGGGGGCUUCCACCCUCAGUGCUGAAGUUAACACAUUAAGCACUCCGCCUGGGGAGUACGACCGCAAGGUUGAAACUCAAAGGAAUUGACGGGGGCCCGCACAAGCAGUGGAGCAUGUGGUUUAAUUCGAAGCAACGCGUAGAACCUUACCAGGUCUUGACAUCCUCUGCCACUCCUAGAGAUAGGACGUUC
rnacentral:rRNA from 1 species